rnacentral:rRNA from 1 species
GACGAACGCUGGCGGCGUACUUAACACAUGCAAGUCGAGCGGGAAACUUCGGUUUCCAGCGGCGGACGGGUGAGUAACACGUGGGCAACCUGCCUCACAAUGAGGGAUAGCCUUCCGAAAGGAAGAUUAAUACCUCAUAAUACAAGAGAAACGCAUGUUUCUCUUGCCAAAGAAUUUCGUGGUGAGAUGGGCCCGCGGCGCAUUAGCUUGUUGGUGAGGUAACGGCUCACCAAGGCUUCGAUGCGUAGCCGACCUGAGAGGGUGAUCGGCCACAUUGGAACUGGGACAAGGUCCAGAAGCCUAGGGGAGGCAGCAGUGGGAAAGAUUGCACAAUGGAGGAAACUCUGAUGCAGCAACGCCGCGUGAGUGAUGAAGGGCUUCGGAUUGUAAAGCUCUGUCUUCUGGGACGAUAAUGACGGUACCAGAGGAGGAAGCCACGGGUAACUACGUGCCAGCGGCCGCGGUAA